rnacentral:rRNA from 1 species
GAUGAACGCUGGCGGCGUGCUUAACACAUGCAAGUCGAGCGAUGAAGUUUCCUUCGGGAAAUGGAUUAGCGGCGGACGGGUGAGUAACACGUGGGCAACCUGCCUCAUAGAGUGGAAUAGCCUUCCGAAAGGAAGAUUAAUACCGCAUAACGUUGAAAGAUGGCAUCAUCAUUUAACCAAAGGAGCAAUCCGCUAUGAGAUGGACCCGCGGCGCAUUAGCUAGUUGGUGGGGUAACGGCCUACCAAGGCGACGAUGCGUAGCYGACCUGAGAGGGUGAUCGGCCACAUUGGGACUGAGACACGGCCCAGACUCCUACGGGAGGCAGCAGUGGGGAAUAUUGCACAAKGGGGGAAACCMUGAUGCAGCAACGCCGCGUGAGUGAUGAAGGUUUUCGGAUCGUAAAGCUCUGUCUUUGGGGAAGAUAAUGACGUACCCG